UGAGGAAUAUUGCACAAUGGGCGCAAGGCUGAUGCAGCAACGCCGCGUGCGGGACGAAGGCCUUCGGGUCGUAAACCGCUUUUCUGGGGAAAGAGCAAGGACGGUACCUCAGGAAUAAGUCUCGGCUAACUACGUGCCAGCAGCCGCGGUAAAACGUAGGAGGCGAGCGUUAUCCGGAUUUACUGGGCGUAAAGCGCACGCAGGCGGCUCUGUGAGUCGGACGUGAAAGCUCCCGGCUUAACCGGGAGAGGCCGUUCGAUACUGCGGGGCUUGAGGUGGGGAGAGGAAUGCGGAAUUCCCGGUGUAGUGGUGGAAUGCGUAGAUAUCGGGAGGAACACCUGUGGCGAAAGCGGCAUUCUGGCCCUCACCUGACACUGAGGUGCGAAAGCGUAGGUAGCAAACAG
rnacentral:rRNA from 1 species